GGAGUUAGCCGGUGCUUCUUCUGUGAGUGAUGUCCUUCCUGCCGGCUAUUAACCCGCAGGCCUUCUUCCUCACUGAAAGUGCUUUACAACCCGAAGGCCUUCUUCACACCACGCGGCAUGGCUGGAUCAGGGUUGCCCCCAUUGUCCAAUAUUCCCCACUGCUGCCUCCCGUAGGAGUCUGGGCCGUGUCUCAGUCCCAGUGUGGCUGAUCAUCCUCUCAGACCAGCUACGGAUCGUCGCCUUGGUUAGCCGUUACCUCACCAACCAGCUAAUCCGACAUAGGCUCAUCCGAUAGCGCGAGGCCCGAAGGUCCCCCGCUUUCCCCCGUAGGGCGUAUGCGGUAUUAGCCUGGGUUUCCCCCAGGUUAUCCCCCACUACCGGGCAGAUUCCUAUGCAUUACUCACCCGUCCGCCGCUCGCCACCAGGGAGCAAGCUCCCCGUGCUGCCGCUCGACUUGCAUGUGUUAGGCCGUCGCCGCCACGCGUUCAAUCUGAGCCGAGGAUACAAACUACUGA
rnacentral:rRNA from 1 species